rnacentral:rRNA from 1 species
UACGUAGGGUGCGAGCGUUAAUCGGAAUUACUGGGCGUAAAGCGUGCGCAGGCGGUGAUGUAAGACAGGGGUGAAAUCCCCGGGCUCAACCUGGGAACUGCAUCCGAGACUGCAUUGCUAGAGUAUGGGAGAGGAAAGCGGAAUUUCUGGUGUAGCAGUGAAAUGCGUAGAUAUCAGAAGGAACAUCAGUGGCGAAGGCGGCUUUCUGGACCAAUACUGACGAUCAGGUGCGAAAGCGUGGGGAGCAAACAGG